UUUUUGGAUGCACAAUAGCUGAAGAUUGUGCCUGGAUUCCCCUUUGCAAGCAUUCUGGAGUCACAACAUCGGCAUAGAAGGUGGCCAGCCUUUGGCUUUUGCAGCCGUUUGUGGAGUCUUUAUGGAGGAGCAGCGUGGUCAAGAGACCACGGCUGCGUAACCCCGUCUGCAGUGUGUGAGGCUGGAGUGCUGACCCUGGACCUGCCCAGUCAUGCCUUCUCGGUCAGCUGUUCAUCUCAUCUGCUACCACGUUUUGUGUAGAUGAACAACAAGCCUGGAAUCAUGCAUGGGAAUGCCAGCCUCACAUGACAUAGGAGACAGAGAAGGAGGAGGCGGGCACAAGCGGGACCCCACAGCUGGCAGCCCCCUUCAGACCGCUGGGAGAUAGCCAAUGGUUUACAGCAACCAAGUGAAAGCCCAGCUAGGACAGAGGUGACCAAGACCCUCACUGCAGCCUCAACUGCCCUCCUUGGCGAGGUGGCUGCUCCCAUGCCUGGGGCAAAUACUUGGACUCAAGAGCAAGGAAUGUCCUGAAGACUUGCACAGGGAAAAGUAUUGG
rnacentral:lncRNA from 1 species